GUGAGGUAAUGGCUUACCAAGGCGACGACGGGUAGCCGGCCUGAGAGGGUGACCGGCCACACUGGGACUGAGACACGGCUCAGACUCCUACGGGAGGCAGCAGCGGGGAAUAUUGCACAAUGGGCGAAAGCCUGAUGCAGCGACGCCGCGUGAGGGAUGACGGCCUUCGGGCUGUAAACCUCUUUCAGUAGGGAAGAAGCGAAAGUGACGGUACCUGCAGAAGAAGCGCCGGCUAACUACGUGCCAGCAGCCGCGGUAAUACGUAGGGCGCAAGCGUUAUCCGGAAUUAUUGGGCGUAAAGAGCUCGUAGGCGGUUUGUCGCGUCUGCCGUGAAAGUCCGGGGCUCAACUCCGGAUCUGCGGUGGGUACGGGCAGACUAGAGUGAUGUAGGGGAGACUGGAAUUCCUGGUGUAGCGGUGAAAUGCGCAGAUAUCAGGAGGAACACCGAUGGCGAAGGCAGGUCUCUGGGCAUUAACUGACGCUGAGGAGCGAAAGCAUGGGGAGCGAACAGGAUUAGAUACCCUGGUAGUCCAUGCCGUAAACGUUGGGCACUAGGUGUGGGGGACAUUCCACGUUUUCCGCGCCGUAGCUAACGCAUUAAGUG
rnacentral:rRNA from 1 species